UCCAAAGGAGACAUCUGAUGGCUUAGGGGAUGAGAAACACAGGCAUUGGUACCCGCAAAACCUUUGAGUUCUCCAUGUUUGUCACUGAUUCUGAGAGCCGUGGAGUCAGCUCCAGAGUUUCAGCCAGCAGCAGAAGCAGAGCUGUGGGCAGUGGUGGAGGUAGAGCUGGCUCCAGCUCCGUUGACACCACACCCUCUAGCACUGGAGCCAGUGUCCCCUCUACCAGCAGUGUUGGAGGUGGAGCAAGGGCCAACAUGGGCUCCAGCAGGAGUGGGAGCUGCUGAGUUGGAGUCACCUGGACCAUCAUUUCUAGUGGGAAGUCCAUCUCCACCUGUGGCUAAGAAGUGUGAGAAGAAACCCAACCCUACGGCCUUCCCUCCUAAGCUGGUGGUGGAGCAGUUGAUCGUGAUGGAUGCAAGCGUAGAGGUGGACACUAACAGGACCUGCUGCACAGAGUGGCUGUGCCGGCUCCUUGAAGAGAAGGAAGGGUGAGCAGGGCCUGGCACAUCAGUAGUGGAGGGGAACUCACUGUAUGCAGCCAGGUCCCUGGUGGCCCAACCGUCUGCUCAGGAAGCUCAACAGCCUCAGGACUUAUUAGACACCUGAUGUGUACUCCACUACAAGGGAGACAGACAAGGCCCGUGGCUGUAGCUGCCAGGGGAGAAUGUGCAUCAGAAUGGGGAGUGUGACCAGAGGGGGAUCAGUGUGUUGGAAGAUGCCCCCUUGGGAUGAGCCGAGGUGAGCCACCAUCUGGAGCUUGGAGUUAGCCAGGACGGGCUGGAUGCAAAUGUCCCUCUCCCUUCCCUGCCAGUAUUGGGUCCUGGGUCAUCCUCUGGGUACCCUCAGUGGACAGAGAAGAAAAGCCAGGGACUCUCACAAGGCUCAGGCCACAUCAUGAGCUUCCUGAGCUCCAGCUCUAAACUGUGACCCCUGUGUGGGACUUUUGUGGAUGUGGACACAGAGCUGGGGUGUGGCAAUGUUGGGUGACACU